GCCUUCUUGGCUCAGCUGGCAGAGCGUCUGCCUAGUAAGCAGAAGGUCACCAGUUCGAUUCUGGUAGAAGGCA
rnacentral:tRNA from 4 species